GUGUGUGUUGAGUGUAAGUGUGUAUGUGCGUGUGUAGAGGUGGGGGGGGUGUCCGUGUUUGUGAUCUGAACCUUUGGUACCUACAAGAGCGAGUCUCACCGAACAGUAGCUAAAACCUCACCAGAAUCGCGCGGAAGUGAGGAGUCGCCGCCAAAGGCGCCCGCCGGAGCCUCCUCUCGGGGCCGGACCCCAGUACCAGCAGCCGAAAGGAGCCCCCCGCCCGGAUCACAGGCUGCCAUGAAGAUAAGGAUAUAGGCAACUGCAGUUUGCUAGCAUCUAUAAUGGAGAAAACAGGUGUCAUCUUAUGGAAAUGCUGGUUCUUGAGCUUAACUCUGAUGUUCUGUAUGCCAAGCAAAUAGGAGCUGAAUAAAUCUAUGGUGCUGACUUUCUCACAUUGAACUGUUGCUCUCUGAAUGUAACCUCAUGAUAGAAUUAAAAUGGAAAAUCAUACGGAAUAAGAAAUAGCCAUAGUGGGACAACCAUUGUACUCCGGAGGAAAUCCUCACUCACAGUCCUUUCCAAAAUUGUUUUUAUCAUGUGGCCUUAGGUUUCCAAUCUUUGAACUUCUCCUGGGACAUGGGGACUGACCCCAAAGACAAAAAUCUGCAAAAGUCAAAUACUGGGGAAACUCCCAUGAAAGUGGGAAUCUUUGGCAGUUGACAAUACUACAGGAAUGUAAUGCAGCAUGGCAAAUAUUGAUGUGUUUCAUGAUUUUGCGAGUACUGUUUCAAGGAAGUUAAUACGUGAGAUGGAGGGAAGGUAGCUCUACUGAUAAAUCUACUGAAAAAUUUCUCCUUGCUUUUAACUUCAGGGAGAGAAAGGGGGAUAUCAAAGGAGUUGAGAAUAGAGAUAAAACCAAACAGCUGCAUCCUGAGUUGGUAAAAAUUGUACCAUGUCUGUGCCAGUUUGAAUGUACUGUGCCCCCCAAAUGCCAUUAUCUUUCAUGUAGUCUUG